rnacentral:lncRNA from 10 species
UUGUGAGGAAGCCUAGGCCACAUGGAGAGGCCACAUAGAUGUGUUCCAGGCAGCAGCCCCAGCAAAGGUCUCAAUCAACCACCAUAUGUGUGAGUGAAGGAACCUUCAGAUAAUUUUGCUUCCCAGACUUCAAGUCUUUCAGCUGGGGUCCAAGACAUCACAAGGCAGAGACAAGCCCUCCUGGAAUUCCCCACCCACCGUGAGCAUAAGAAAACUUGAAAGCGGUGUAAAUGGCUCUUAUCUGAACCACAAUGAAUUCACAUAUUCAAGUUGGCUUCUUCGGAAAUUUCAGGCCACAAAUGGCAGUGAUGCGACCAGGAGCAGUAACACGUGCCACUUCCAUCCGGACAGAAGGAACCCAGGUCAAGGCUGACAGGAGGAGCAGGAGCCGUCAAUGAGAGCAGACCUCAGAAGCCAACGGAGGUGAGAAGAGCACCAUCCACAGCCCCAUCCUCUGAAUGCUGUGGGAAGAAGUCCACAAAAUACCACCCCUUGGAGUCAGUCAGUAGUAGAGCCCUUGCUGCUGGCUGCAAAUACCCCAUCAGAACAUGUUUGGGGUGAUUCUUGGACCUGGUUUCAAUUUCUUUUCUGCCAGUCAGCAGUUGUGCUUGACUCACAAUUUGUUGCCAUCUCUUGAAUUAAACUCAGGAAACAGGAUAAAGAUCAGAACCACAUUGUAAAAGCUUCCUUAUGGUUCAUUUUUUGCUGAGAUAAAUAAUGAGCAGCUCUGAUCCAUGUCUCUGGAGAGCUCAGAGCACACUACCAGGAGCUCCUAGCCACAGGGUGAGCACAGGUGGCUGGUGUUCUCUUGAUGAGGAAAGACAGCAGUGUCCAAUCUACCCUGCCUUACACGGAGCCCCAGGUGCUCUCCCGGACUGUGUUGCUACCUAAAGCACAUGGCAAUUGCAUGAUGCUAACCAGAGCAGCCCCUCACUCAUUAGAAACAUCUGCUUUGCAUUAUUUACACAGGCAAAGUUUUCCUUUUUACUGAGCCUACCCAGUUCAAACUUAAGUGGGAUUUGCCAGCUAUCUGGCUAAUUUUAUGAGCAAUAAUAAAGAUUGGUGAACACUU